GGGUUGUGAGGUUAAGCGACUAAGCGUACACGGUGGAUGCCCUGGCAGUCAGAGGCGAUGAAGGGCGUGCUAAUCUGCGAUAAGCGCCGGUAAGGUGAUAUGAACCGUUAUAACCGGCGAUACCCGAAUGGGGAAACCCAGUGUGACUCGUCACAC
rnacentral:rRNA from 2 species